GAUGAACGCUGGCGGCGUGCCUAAUACAUGCAAGUCGAGCGAACAGAUGAGGAGCUUGCUCCUCUGACGUUAGCGGCGGACGGGUGAGUAACACGUGGAUAACCUACCUAUAAGACUGGGAUAACUUCGGGAAACCGGAGCUAAUACCGGAUAAUAUAUUGAACCGCAUGGUUCAAUAGUGAAAGACGGUUUUGCUGUCACUUAUAGAUGGAUCCGCGCCGCAUUAGCUAGUUGGUAAGGUAACGGCUUACCAAGGCAACGAUGCGUAGCCGACCUGAGAGGGGGAACGGCCACAAGGGAAAGGGGAAACGGACCAAAACCCUAGGGGAGGCAGCAGGAGGGAAUUUUCCGAAAGGGGCGAAAGCCUGACGGGGCAACGCCGGGGGAGGGAUGAAGGUUUUGGGAUCGAAAAACUUUUUUAUUAGGGAAAAAAAAAUGGGAAAGUAAAUAUGCACGUUUUGAAGGUACCUAAUCAGAAAGCCACGGAUAACUACGU
rnacentral:rRNA from 1 species